AUGUAUCCACUAGCCUGGGCUGUAGUUGAGAAUGAAACUAAUAUCACAUGGAAGUGGUUUCUUGGGCUGCUCAUUAAGGACUUGGAAAUAAACAAUAAUGGAGAUGGCUGGGUUAUUAUUUCUGAUCAGCAGAAGGGCUUGAUAAAUGCAGUGAAUGAUUACCUUCCUGCUGCACAGCAUAGGAUGUGUGCUAGACACAUUUAUGCUAAUUGGAGGAAGAAACAUAGAGAUCAUGAGUGGCAAAAAAAAUUCUGGGCAGUUGCUAAGGCUUCUAACAAGCAAGAUUUCAACUAUUAUAAGGCCAAGCUUGCACAAGUCACUCCUGAAGGGGCUAAAGACAUCAUGAGGACUGAGCCACAGCACUGGGCAAGGGCUUUUUUCCCAGUUGGUUCAAACUGUGAAUCAGUUGACAACAACCUAUGUGAGUCAUUCAACCAUGCUAUAGUUGAUGCUAGGUUGAAGUGUUCAACCUUGCUACUUUGUUGA
rnacentral:rRNA from 1 species